AGUUAGCCGAUGCUUAUUCCUCAGGUACCGUCAAAAUUCUUCCCUGAGAAAAGAGGUUUACAAUCCAAGAACCUUCCUCCCUCACGCGGUAUUGCUCCGUCAGGCUUUCGCCCAUUGCGGAAAAAUUCCCCCA
rnacentral:rRNA from 1 species